rnacentral:rRNA from 1 species
GCAGUCGAACGGCAGCACGGGAGCAAUCCUGGUGGCGAGUGGCGAACGGGUGAGUAAUAUAUCGGAACGUGCCCAGUCGUGGGGGAUAACGUAGAGAAAUUUACGCUAAUACCGCAUACGAUCUAAGGAUGAAAGCGGGGGACCGUAAGGCCUCGCGCGAUUGGAGCGGCUGAUAUCAGAUUAGGUUGUUGGUGAGGUAAAAGCUCACCAAGCCGACGAUCUGUAGCUGGUUUGAGAGAACGACCAGCCACACUGGGACUGAGACACGGCCCAGACUCCUACGGGAGGCAGCAGUGGGGAAUUUUGGACAAUGGGCGAAAGCCUGAUCCAGCAAUGCCGCGUGCAGGAAGAAGGCCUUCGGGUUGUAAACUGCUUUUGUACGGAACGAAAAGGUCUGCCCUAAUACGGCGGGCCCAUGACGGUACCGUAAGAAUAAGCACCGGCUAACUACGUGCCAGCAGCCGCGGUAAUACGUAGGGUGCGAGCGUUAAUCGGAAUUACUGGGCGUAAAGCGUGCGCAGGCGGUGAUGUAAGACAGUUGUGAAAUCCCCGGGCUCAACCUGGGAAUUGCGAUGGAGACUGCAAGGCUAGAAUCUGGCAGAGGGGGGUAGAAUUCCACGUGUAGCAGUGAAAUGCGUAGAGAUGUGGAGGAACACCGAUGGCGAAGGCAGCCCCCUGGGUCAAGAUUGACGCUCAUGCA